rnacentral:misc_RNA from 1 species
GAGGAUCAGUGCUCCGGGAAGCAAAGUUGGUUUCACAGAGGUAGAUUGUCGUAAUUACAUGCGGAACAACCGCCAAAGGAGCAUGGAAGGAGACAUACAGCUCCUCUUAGACUACCUGAAACAAAUGAAUAUCCAGAAUGCUGGAUUCUUCUAUGCAGUUCAGGGUGAUGAGGAUCAGUGCUCUGGGAAUGUCUUCUGGGCUGACUCUAAGGCAAGAGCAAAUUAUAACUAUUUUGGUGAUACUGUUACAUUUGAUACAACUUAUAGGUCAAAUAGGUACCGGUUACCCUUUGCACCCUUUACUGGAGUAAAUCAUCAUGGACAACCUGUUCUCUUUGGAUGUGCUUUCCUAAUAAAUGAAUCCGAAGCCUCAUUCAUAUGGCUUUUUAAGACAUGGCUUGCAGCUAUGUCUGGUCAACCCCCCUUGUCAAUGACAACAGACCAUGAUGCUGUAAUUAGGUCUGCCAUCAUGCAGGUUUUCCCUGAGACCCGUC